CUCGGGUCCUACGGUCACCAGACUGCGGGGCGGGCGGGCCUCAGCAUGCAGGCGCAGUAACCUCAAAACCCCGAAGCUGGAACCUUUCUUUCCUGGUAGCUGGCAACUUCACCUCUGCCCUGGGCUUGAUUUUCCUGACCACUCCUCCCCAUCUUCUUUGUCUUCAAGGUUUUCCCUGUCCCUGCACUGCUCGUUUGGUCACCUUUUGAGAGAAAAGAACACUGAUCCCAUUAAAAGGCCCUGUUGUUUGCCAGAUGAGGUCACCAGACUGGUAAGUAGCAAGGCUGGGACUCCACUAGGAAUAUCUGACUUUAAAAGCCAUGUUCCUGUCACCCAGAAUGCACAUGCUGAUGCAGCUGAACAGAAGAGGGGAGCUGAGAUGCGUCAAAAGAAGGCCUCUCUGUGGAAGGAGGAUGUGUGUCCACCCACCAAGAAGGUUUUGAUGGUCAGUGUCUGCGUAUCCAGCUGCUGGGGUGAAGAGAUUUGGAAAUCACUGAACAUUCCUGUUGGGAGCUUUCCAAGCCCUUUUGGGAACCGGCAACAGCGCUUGUCUGGGGAAAUUAGUUUUGCACUUUCACAGAGUGAGAAAUUCCUCAGGGGCAUUCUUGUUCUUAGGAAGAGAAAUCAAACCCAGCGCAUUCCUUCAGGGCCCAAGCCCGUAGUAAAGCAUACCGAGUCCAGUUCGGGUGGUCCAGUUUGGGGCCUUGGGGUGGGGCAGGCGCAGCAGAGUUCUGCGAAUUUCACCUGUGACUAAGUCCCAACCCCCGCGCCUGGCGCGAGCUUGAGAUUUCAGGGGAUCGUGUUACCAGUGUGUAAACACCUUGAGUAAUGGCCAACGCUCCCAAGCGACCAUGGA
rnacentral:lncRNA from 1 species